UACGGAGGGUGCAAGCGUUGUCCGGAUUUAUUGGGUUUAAAGGGUGCGUAGGCGGGUUUUUAAGUCAGCGGUGAAAGCUCCGAGCUUAACUCGGAAAUUGCCGUUGAUACUAUUAAUCUUGAAUUUAGUUGAGGUGGGCGGAAUGUGUAGUGUAGCGGUGAAAUGCUUAGAUAUUACACAGAACACCUAUUGCGAAGGCAGCUCGCUAAACUAAUAUUGACGCUGAGGCACGAAAGCGUGGGGAUCAAACAGG
rnacentral:rRNA from 1 species